rnacentral:hammerhead_ribozyme from 1 species
GUCCAGCUGACGAGUCCCAAAUAGGACGAAACGCGCGUUCUGGAU